rnacentral:snoRNA from 2 species
ACCCUCUCAGAGUCACACCUGGAGAGUUCCCAGUACUCUACCAGUCUCGACUACAAGAGGGAGAGUCAAGCAGAGGCAUAUCCACUCCAUUCCUAGCUUGGGCAGUGGCUAGCGAGUGGAAGGCAAUCAGCUACAAAU